rnacentral:rRNA from 1 species
UACGUAGGGUGCGAGCGUUAAUCGGAAUUACUGGGCGUAAAGCGUGCGCAGGCGGUCUGUUAAGACCGAUGUGAAAUCCCCGGGCUUAACCUGGGAACUGCGUUUGAAACUACAAGGCUAGAGUGUGGCAGAGGGGGGGUGGAAUUCCACGUGUAGCAGUGAAAUGCGUAGAGAUGUGGAGGAACACCGAUGGCGAAGGCAGCCCCCUGGGCUGAGAUUGACGCUCAGGCACGAAAGCGUGGGGAGCAAACAGG